UACGUAGGGCGCAAGCGUUGUCCGGAAUUAUUGGGCGUAAAGAGCUCGUAGGCGGCCUGUCGCGUCCGCUGUGAAAUCCUGGGGCUCAACCUCGGGCGUGCAGUGGAUACGGGCUGGCUGGAGGCAGGCAGGGGAGGCUGGAAUUCCUGGUGUAGCGGUGAAAUGCGCAGAUAUCAGGAGGAACACCGGUGGCGAAGGCGGGUCUCUGGGCCGAAACUGACGCUGAGGAGCGAAAGCGUGGGGAGCAAACAGG
rnacentral:rRNA from 1 species